rnacentral:tRNA from 64 species
GGCGGGGUUCCCGAGCGGCCAAAGGGAGCAGACUGUAAAUCUGCCGUCAUCGACUUCGAAGGUUCGAAUCCUUCCCCCGCCACCA